UGUUUUGCUUCAUCCUCCAACACGCGAGACGUGUGAGUGCUGUGGCUCACGUCAUCCUCAACCACCACCACGCAGUGCUUGCUUUUCCUCUCCUCUUUAAUCCUCACCGAAGCCCCAAGAUUGAACCCUAGUUCCUCUUCCCUCCUCAGCGCCGCCGCUCUGUUUUUCGCUUCCCUUGGCGCUGUACAAGAAUCAGCUAAAAUAGAAGACAGAAAACUUCAGUUAAAAGUUCAGAGAACUUCGCCGGAGAGAUCGCCGCUGCCCCGCCGACAUGGGCCUCCCCGAGCGAGGCCAAGCAGCGGGAUCGAACCUUGUUGCCGUCCUGGUUCUUGUCGCGCCAAGAGAUCGUGUUCGGGCACCGGAAAUCAUCGACGCUGUCUCCGUUUCUGUCUGCACGUCCAAGUUCGUCGGUGACAACUUCGUCGCCGCCGGCCGGUUCUCUCGCCUCCAGACCUCGUCCGGCCUCUCCGACCCCACCUGCGCCUUCCCGGUGAGUUUCUGCGCCUCCCGGAGUUCUCCACUGUCUCCCUCCUCGUUCCUAUCACGCUCGCGGCGUUGACCGCCGUUCAUCCCUGUAGGAGCUCGUCGCCGGCGCAGUUGGGGGGUACUCCGGUGCCGAGUCAGCGACCUUCUGGUUGCCCGCGAAGUUCUGCAUCCAGCGCCCCCUUCCGCUCGUCCCGGUUCGCCCCAUGUCGUCACUUCCGUGCUCGCCGGCCGGCCGCUGUGUCCCAGGUCGAGCUCCAACUUCAUCCUGGUGUGCGGCUUAUGGCUUCCACCUACGUCUGAUUCAACAAGCUCCGCACCUUAUAUCUUUCAGCAUCUAAACCAGCAGCCAGUGUUUCGUCAGGUUUCGACAACGCACAGUUUCACUUCAUUUGGUCGCCCGCCUCCUCUUCUACAAGAACAGCAGCAUAGCUCAAUGACGAUGCAAGCAUGCCACCAGUCAAGCAGAAGUUCUAAAUCCGGUGGCCAUUUGCAUUAUAUGGCCGCUCUGGCUCAGCAUUUGCUUCUUCCCGGAUAGGAUCACGAAGUGGUGCGGUGAGAUACGCCAAGUUAUCCGGAUGUCCCUCGGCAAGCUUUAACAGGCAAG